GAAAACCUAGUCUCAGUUCGGANCGGAGUCUGCAACCCGACUCCGUGAAGCUGGAUUCGCUAGUAAUCGCGCAUCAGCCAUGGCGCGGUGAAUACGUUCCCGGGCCUUGUACACACCGCCCGUCAAGCCAUGGGAGCCGGGAGUGCCUGAAGUCCGUGACCGCGAGGAGCGGCCUAGGGUAAGACCGGUGACUGGGGCUAAGUCGUAACAAGGUAUC
rnacentral:rRNA from 1 species